rnacentral:rRNA from 1 species
GACGAACGCUGGCGGCGUGCUUAACACAUGCAAGUCGUACGGUAAGGCCCUUUCGGGGGUACACGAGUGGCGAACGGGUGAGUAACACGUGAGUAACCUGCCCACAACUUUGGGAUAACGCUAGGAAACUGGUGCUAAUACUGGAUAUGUGCUCCUGCUGCAUGGUGGGGGUUGGAAAGCUCCGGCGGUUGUGGAUGGACUCGCGGCCUAUCAGCUUGUUGGUGGGGUAGUGGCCUACCAAGGCGGCGACGGGUAGCCGGCCUGAGAGGGUGACCGGCCACAUUGGGACUGAGAUACGGCCCAGACUCCUACGGGAGGCAGCAGUGGGAAAUAUUGCACAAUGGGCGCAAGCCUGAUGCAGCAACGCCGCGUGCGGGAUGACGGCCUUCGGGUUGGAAACCGCUUUCAGCAGGGACGAAGCUUUUUGUGACGGUACCUGCAGAAGAAGCACCGGCUAACUACGUG